rnacentral:rRNA from 1 species
GCCUACGGGGCGCAGCAGUGGGGGAUAUUGGACAAUGGGGGGAACCCUGAUCCAGCGACGCCGCGUGAGUGAAGAAGUAUUUCGGUAUGUAAAGCUCUGUCAGCAGGGAAGAAAGCAAUGACGGUACCUGACCAAGAAGCCCCGGCUAACUACGUGCCAGCAGCUGCGGUAAUACGUAGGGGGCAAGCGUUAUCCGGAUUUACUGGGUGUAAAGGGUGCGUAGGUGGCAGGGCAAGUCAGAUGUGAAAGCCCGGGGCCCAACCCCGGUACUGCAUUUGAAACUGUCCGGCUGGAGUGCAGGAGAG